UCACAGCUCGCUUUAAUCAUGCUGCCUGGAUAAGUGCUUUGACUACGUGUUGAUGUGUGGUGUUUGUCAUAUUUUGCCAUAGUUAUUUUCUUUACUUAAAAUAUGUAGAUAUCACGUAAUUUGUUGAUUGCUACGCAGCUGUUUAGUUGGAGGAAGUACUUUUUAUGCAUUUCAUUGCGGGUUUCUGCUGUAUAUCUGUGUCCAAAGCGUUGGAUUCCUGGAUCUGUUUCCGGAUUUUUGUAUUUCGUUUCCUGGGCUCAAUCGACCAGAUUCUGUACAUCCAGCUGGAAACGCGACGGGGCAGGACGAUGCGUGUUAGUGUUAGGGCCUUGGACACACUGUACUCCAUUAUUCUACUGGUUGUUGUACUCCUGUCAUGGGGAUAUGUUAUUUAUGGAACUAGAAUAGCUGCAAAAUGGCAGCUGGAGAAAAGGCUGCAGGCGCAAGUGUGAACUUUAAACGGGAGAAACAGCCUUUUCUCUUCAAACCUGGCCGCCGCCGGAAGCCUCUCAAGUACCAGCAGCAUUGCGAUAUAUGUUCCUAAACAUCAUUUCAUAAUUGUAUUUUAGAUAUGUCGUUUUUUUCUUCUUUUCCAUUUGCCGGACUUGACCAUUUUAAUUGUUUUUAUUAUUAUUUUGUGGAUAAUACAAAUGCGUAAGAGUCGUGUUUUUGAUUACCUUUUAAAUAAUGUAUUAGCAAUAAUUCUACAGAUAAAUAAAACUCUAUUCAGAUUUU